GUCGCCGUCGCCCAACACCUACGCACCCCUCCGCAUAUGGAACUAUAUAGAACGACUCCGGAUUCCCGACUUCGUCGUCGUCGGCUACGAGGACGAGCCGCUACCGCGAUAUAAUAUCCCUGCAGCACGUAUAAAGAGAGCGAGUGUAUCGGGGCACGUGUACGUGCACCCAUACGUGGGCAGGGUCGGCGGGUCGGUUCUCUUUCGCGCGGAGGUGAGAGAGGAGAGGAGAGGAGAGGAGAGGAGAGAAAAGGGAGAGAAGGGAGAGAAGAGAGCGCGGCGUAGGAGCCUCGGAGAUCACAGUGCCGCGGCAAGCAUAAGCCUUCUACACAGCCGGCGCGGCGGUACAUACUUACUAUCGAAGGAUCAAUACACAAGAGGGCUUCGGGGUGGUUGAAAGGGGGGGAAUGGAUGGUGAGCAGAGUUGGGCAGAGGAAUGAGGGGGAGAGGGGGAUAUGCACCAACUCGCCAAGGCUCGUUCGUCGUCCGUCCAUCGCGUCGGUCCGUCGAUCCGCUGCCUCCGUACCGCUCUCUCUCUCUCUCUACGGUACAGCGCAAAUAUCGCGCGGGUGUAUACACCCCCACGACGUUCCACGUAACGCACAUGCCGUCCGUGAACGCGUGCAUCGCGAUCACCCGGGUAAAUAACGUGCGAAGAAGAAAACCGGGGCGAGGGGGGGAAGGGAAAUGAAAUUUGAGAAAAUUCGAUAAUUGCGUAACCCAUUUUAUAGGGCGAAUCGAUCACACCCCCCCCCUCCCCCCCUUCCUGCGAGAAAGGCAGGAAUAUAGAAAUAUCGACACCCCGUGCGGCGUAUGCACAGGGGUAAGUAGAACUUUGAAGGAGAGAGAGAGAGAAAGAGAUGAACGUACAGAACGCGAAUCGCGGGGAUCUGUAUUAACGUUAAAUUGUGUGCACAUUAUCGUUAUGGAACGUGGGACAUAUCAUCGGUGGCGGGGUAUGCGAGGUAUUAUAAUGGUGGUAUGCAUAAUAUAAUGGCGCGGUGCCGCUUCGGAUCUCGCGGUAUAACUUCUGGUGGCUGAUUUUCCAGGCAGGCGGGCAAACGGGCGGGCAGGGGGCAGUCGCGAGCAGGCGGGCGCUGUAUAGUUGAACGAGAGGACGACAACCGAUCGUAUCACCCGCUACUACCGCGAGAGAACCCGACGACGACGACGACGACGACGACGACGAAGCGGUGUAUAAAUAGUCGUAGAAUACGGACGUACGUAUAGAGAGACAACAGGUCGAACGCCCCUCUUAUUAGUCGAUGCUCUCGCUGCCCGCUGCCGUUUCGAUAAAACAAUCUACGUGUACACGCGCCGGUUUAAAACAUCGAAAUUUUUCAACCGUUCGUUGUGCGGGAGUCACAUUUUUUUUCAUCAACUCCCGCCGUAGCACGGGGUGAUCUUGAACCCUGUAGCUUUUUCGAAAAGGGAGAAUAGGGAAUAAAAGGCGUCAUCGAACGUCUGUCGCUCGUUGCGGAAGGGUAUACGUAAUCGAUUACGAGGCGCCGCACGGUGCACGUAGAUAUACGUAUGUGUGUUUACGUGCGAAAGUCGUUGCGAAAUGUACAUCGCGAAUGGAAAUAAUAAGGCGUACGAACGACCCGGGGGAGACUAGUACGCGCGUAUUAUCCUUACGGAUUCGCAGGUAGCCCAGCUGCAGGUUGAGCGCGUGUAUAUAUAUUUUCGAACCCCGUACAGCCAUGCUCGAUAUUAGAAAAAGCGAGAGGGGACCGCGAGAGGGAUAAAUAUAUUUAUGCAAAGAGAGGAGAGCAGGAGAGUAAGAAGAAAAGGAAGAAAGGGAGGGUAGAGAGGGCAUUGCGUAUAUAUUUCGCCGGGGUACUUGAAGGAGGUAAGGUCGAUACGCGGAGCUGUACGAUCCACGUGGUGCAUUACCGGAUUCCCGCAAGCAAGCUUUUGACUCGAGUUGGCCGUCGACUCGGCUCGACUCAACUCAACUUGGUGUUCCACUCGAUAUCUACAUCGUGAUCGUCGUCGUGGUGCCGAAGAGACGAAGGAGAGAGAGAAAGAGAGAGAGAGAGAGAGAGAGAGGGGGGGGGAGAGUAGCGUAGUCGGUACGUACAAUACACGGAGGCGACGCCAUCGCAGGGACUCCGGAUAGUUCUAUAUAAUCCCGGACAAAACUGGUGGUUGGGGGGUUGCACUGUGCGGCAGUAUGUACAAUAACGUACGUAUGUAUAUGCACACACGUACGUUAUUGUACAUACACGUAGUUAUAUACGCGCAAUAGAAUUGAUAAUAUACAGGUUUUCCCGGGUAUACCGGGAGACAAUUCAGCCCUCUCUUCGCUGACGCUGACCUCUGCUCCGACAAAUUUUAUUCAAUAAUUUCCCAUUUAUUCCAAAUUUUACCCCGCUGGCAUUCGUCGUCGUGUCGCGUGGGCGAUACGCGGCGAACGAAUCGUCCCGUUCGAAGGAUUCGAAAAAUUUCACCCUCGUUUCCCCAAUCCGCCGUCUACCCCCCCCCCCCCCCCCCCCCAUUCGGUAUUCGUGCGUUACGGGAUAUCGAAAUGACGAUGAACAGCUGAUGGCUGGCGGUAAUAUAUUACAAUAUUACAGAUUAAUAAUAAGUGGCGCUGCAGUUAAACACACGGGGGAUUCCCCUUCGAUCAGACGCCUUUAUCGAUUGCGGGUGAACCUCCGCGUGAGGCGUGACCUUGUUCGCCACCGCUAGCUGAGCGAGUAAAGGAAAGAAGAAACUUAUUGUACAUAGGUGCGGAUGGCGGAUGAAGAAUCGCCUAUUUUUUAUCGCCGAACUAUCGAGUGAAGAUAAAUGAGACAAACCGAUCGAACUCGUCGUAUUAAAUAGAUCGGACUUUUCAAUAUCCGCGAUAAAUCAUUUAUCGAUGAAUGGACAUAUCUCUGAAUGAAUCAAUAGUUGAUGGGGAAAUGGGAAAAAAAUACUAGAAAUAGAAGGAGAAUGAGCUGAAGAUGAAGAGGAAGACGAAAAAAAAGAGUAGAUGGAAACAGGCAAAGAAGAAGAGGCGCUGCUUGCUUCCACCUUGGCUGCAUCAGUAGCGGCAGCAGCAGCAGGGCGCCGGGCAGGGUCCGACGAGGACGGGGGCGUCGUUUUCUGUUUUGCACCCGCGAACAGGAUGAGCGUCGCGAAAACUAAUGCGCUCUUUGACCUCAAUCUUACGCUUACCAGGUUGGAAAUCAAUACGCAGCGUUGAACCAUGGACAUCGUAGCGAUUAAGAGUGAACAGUAUUAUAUAAAGCCCGCUGUCAGAAAUAAUAAUAUGACUAAUAUAACCCCCUCGAAAUAUCGUGGCAACUACGAGCGCUUUAUUUAUUCAAUUUUCAUUUUUGUUGCUCACACGACUGUCGCGACUCGAUAGCAUACCGAUAACGUGAAGGGAUCGAAGUAAAUUUUCCGACGAUUCGUUUCCAGUGUGAUCGACGUCGAAUCAAUUAUGUAGAUAUUUAUUCGACCACAAUUCUGGGAUCGAAGAAUUGCCAAAAUGGCGUCGCGUGACAUCGGGCUACUUUUGCUCACAUCGGUAAGACGUUGAUAUGAAAAUCGCAAUUCUACAUCUCGUUAUAUUUCGUAGAUUUGAUCUCCAUGGUAAUCGCCGUGUUGUAAUAGUCUUCAAAGGACUUGUACGCGUUAACAACUACGACGUCAUCACAUCCAGGAGACCUAUAGUAGCCAGGACAAAGAACAGGAUCGCGAUGCUAAAUGGAGGGGAGAAACUGAGGAAUUACAUUUCAAAGACUGCCUGCGUCGAAGAGGAAGUCGGUAUGAUAUUCUGGAUGCUCCCGUGGUAUGGAAGUUUCUUAUACCACCGCGCAAUUCCGUCUAUAUAUACGUUCUAACCGCCCAUUUCGCAGGAUCGUCCUCCGAACAAACCCCUAAAAUUCAACGAUUUUAGACUUUUUUUUUCCCCUCUCCAUCAACUGCGCAAAACCUAUUCGAGCACUAUGGAUCUGGUUGUGCGAGAACGUUGCCGCCGCGGCAUUUUUAAUUCCGAUCAAACAUUCGGCAAUAAUCCUAAGAUCGGACGUGGAUUUCUUUUUUUCGUAAAUAAACCGGAAAUUUUGAUAACCGAUAAUUCGUAUUACAUUACACGCGGAACGAAAUCGAAAUGAUGAAAAAGAGGAAAACCCAAAAAAAAAAAAACAUGGACGCCGUUAUCGUUACAGAAAAAUGCAGAGACUAUUCUCCAUAUGGUCGCAUCUUUCACACCGUGGACCGGAAAUCGUUGGGUAUUGGCAGCUUCCUCUAUAUAUACAUACAUAUACAUAGUUAAAUUUAAAUCGUGUAGAAGAACUUUCGAGAGUUUUAAAUCAACGGAAAUCCUCUCAGCUGUUACGAAGCUGCAGGAACAACGUUCAUGCAUGCGUCACUGCAACGUACCGCAAGUUAUUCCACCAUGGGGUUGCAGCAGGUGAUUAAUCACCGAUGCAAUUUUAAUUUUCAAUGCUUCUUUUCGUCUCUAUAUCUAUUCAUUCUUUUUCAAUUCAAUUGACAAACAAACUGGAGUCUUUGCCGAACUCUAGAGCAAUCUAUAAUCAAUAACUCUCAACUUUUUGAUUGCUUUAUCAUAACGAGUGCAAUGCAUCGGUUUUUUUCUCCUUUUUUUUUUUUUCAAUAAUAUUUUUUCGCUCAAAAAUGUGUAAUUUGUGCAGCGGAACGACGGUAUCUGAUGUGUCUAUUGAAAAACGUGACGCCAUGGAAAUAAAUAAUUUACGCAAAUAAUAAGGUGACCUUCGAAACUUUGUAAUAACCGUUUGAAUAAUCUGUGUGUAUCGUGCGAACGAGAGAAUUUAAAAUAGGUUUAUCACAUUAUAGAAACUAUACUGCAUUUAUAAGACUUCUCAAAGGACGGUACCUAAAUAAUAACAGUCUUAUGAACGCGUACUCAUUGAAAAAUUUAAUUACCAUAAACGCGAAACUGAUGAUACAUAUAUGUAUGCAUUAUAGGUAUAUCGAGAUAGAGAGAGAGAAGAAAAAUUUGCACUUCUGUAAAAACGAUAAAUUCACGUAGACAAACAAUCGGUAAUCAAGUAGAGUAAAAAAUAACACAUGAAUGAAAUAAUAAAUAAAUUGAAGAGAAAAUUAUUAUCGUUAAUUUUACAGGCAUUUUUGUUACCGACGUGGCAGUGAAUCGAGGUUUGACCACAGAGUGACUAAAAAUUAAAAUGUCGAGGUGGAUAUUUCAUUUGAAGUGCGUUAUGUGAAAAUUAUAAUAUGUAUUUAUAACUGAGUGAUAUAACGGGAAUGAGAAACAACAUUUGGAACACGCGACCCGUAUAAGAUACUUUGUAUAAAUGAAUCUUAGAAUCCGACGAUCGUCAUAAACUCCGUAGAACGAUCGUAAAGUUCAUAAUUCUAUCGCGAUAAUACCUUACAGAAAUUAAUUACGAAUUUGUGAUUAAAUUAAUAUGAAAUUACAAAUGCCCGAAUUUUCACCAUA